rnacentral:tRNA from 1 species
UCCCUGGUGGCCUAGUGGUUAAGGACCCAGCAUUGUCAGUGCGGUGGCUCAGGUUUGACCCCUGGCCUGGGAA